ensembl:lncRNA
CGGGAGCCGCGCUGCGGCUACGGGGGAGGAGGAGGAGGGCGGGAGGAGGAGGAGUUGAGGAGCCCGGGCCCGGGAGCCUCCCCGCUUACCGCACUAGGAAGUGACGCUUUCCCUGAGUCCCGGAGAGAAAGAAACAAAGUUUUUUUGGUGGUUUUUUUUUCUUCUUUCCGUUUUUUCUCUCGCUCGGUGGUCUUUCCUUCUGCGUUUACUCUUUGCAAUCUGCAGCCCCGGAGGCUCCCGCCGUACCUCGCAGCGCAGCAACUGAAAAGGACUGAUUCUUUGCAGUUUACCAGUCAGAGCUGACAAUACACCCACGCACGUAUCCUUCAGAAUUCAAGAAAUAUUCUCUCUGCUCGAAGAGAUUUAACUUGGCAGCCUCUUUAAAACAAAUAAAUCAUCAUGGCUGUUACCAGAAAGAAGCUGUUUUCAUCUCGAGUUUGAGUGCGGUGGAAGGGCUGUCUGGAGAGAGCAGCAGGCAGUCAAGGGAGGGAAAGAGCGAAAAGAAAUGUCCUAAUGCAGAGACUGGUAUUAGGUUGUUUGGAGGGCGAGACUGCAGUUCCAGGCAGCAACAGC